rnacentral:rRNA from 1 species
GAUGAACGCUGGCGGUAUGCUUAACACAUGCAAGUCGAACGGACUCUUCGGAGUUAGUGGCGGACGGGUGUGUAACGCGUUAGAAUCUGGCUUUGGGUUCGGGACAACCACUGGAAACGGUGGCUAAUACCGGAUGUGCCGUGAGGUAAAAGAGAAAUUGCCUGAAGAUGAGCUCGCGUCUGAUUAGCUAUUUGGUGAGGUAAAGGCUCACCAAGGCAGCGAUCAGUAGCUGUUGUGAGAGGAUGACCAGACACACUGGGAAUGAGACACGGCCGAGACUACUACGGGAGGCAGCAGGGGGGAAUUAGACGAAAAGGGAGAAAGCAUGAAGGAGAAAUACCGAGUGAGGGAAGAAGGCAAUAGGGGUGAAAAAAUGUUGAAUUAGGGAAGAACAAAAUGACGGUAACUAAGGAAUAAGCAACGGCUAACUACGUG